CUAAGUCGGAUUAGCUAGUUGGUGGGGUAAAGGCCUACCAAGGCGACGAUCUGUAGCGGGUCUGAGAGGAUGAUCCGCCACACUGGGACUGAGACACGGCCCAGACUCCUACGGGAGGCAGCAGUGGGGAAUAUUGGACAAUGGGCGGAAGCCUGAUCCAGCCAUGCCGCGUGUGUGAAGAAGGCCUUUUGGUUGUAAAGCACUUUAAGCGAGGAGGAGGCUCCUUUAGUUAAUACCUAAAGUGAGUGGACGUUACUCGCAGAAUAAGCACCGGCUAACUCUGUGCCAGCAGCCGCGGUAAUACAGAGGGUGCGAGCGUUAAUCGGAUUUACUGGGCGUAAAGCGUGCGUAGGCGGCUUUUUAAGUCGGAUGUGAAAUCCCUGAGCUUAACUUAGGAAUUGCAUUCGAUACUGGAAAGCUAGAGUAUGGGAGAGGAUGGUAGAAUUCCAGGUGUAGCGGUGAAAUGCGUAGAGAUCUGGNAGGAAUACCGAUGGCGAAGGCAGCCAUCUGGCCUAAUACUGACGCUGAGGUACGAAAGCAUGGGGAGCAAACAGGAUUAGAUACCCUGGUAGUCCAUGCCGUAAACGAUGUCUACUAGCCGUUGGGGCCUUUGAGGCUUUAGUGGCGCAGCUAACGCGAUAAGUAGACCGCCUGGGGAGUACNGGUCNGCAAGACUAAAACUCAAAUGAAUUGACGGGGGCCCGCACAAGCGGUGGAGCAUGUGGUUUAAUUCGAUGCAACGCGAAGAACCUUACCUGGCCUUGACAUACUAAGAACUUUCCAGAGAUGGAUUGGUGCCUUCGGGAACUUAGAUACAGGUGCUGCAUGGCUGUCGUCAGCUCGUGUCGUGAGAUGUUGGGUUAAGUCCCGCAACGAGCGCAACCCUUUUCCUUAUUUGCCAUCGGGUAAUGCCGGGAACUUUAAGGAUACUGCCAGUGACAAACUGGAGGAAGGCGGGGACGACGUCAAGUCAUCAUGGCCCUUACGGCCAGGGCUACACACGUGCUACAAUGGUCGGUACAAAGGGUUGCUACCUCGCGAGAGGAUGCUAAUCUCAAAAAGCCGAUCGUAGUCCGGAUCGCAGUCUGCAACUCGACUGCGUGAAGUCGGAAUCGCUAGUAAUCGCGGAUCAGAAUGCCGCGGUGAAUACGUUCCCGGGCCUUGUACACACCGCCCGUCACACCAUGGGAGUUUGUUGCACCAGAAGUAGGUAGUCUAACCGCAAGGAGGACGCUUACCACGGUGUGGCAGAUGACUGGGGUGAAGU
rnacentral:rRNA from 1 species